rnacentral:rRNA from 1 species
GACGAACGCUGGCGGCGUGCUUAACACAUGCAAGUCGAACGGGUCUGCCCUGUUUUUUGCGGGGUGGGUCAGUGGCGAACGGGUGAGUAACACGUGAGUAACCUGCCCCUCACUUCUGGAUAACCGCUUGAAAGGGUGGCUAAUACGGGGUGUUCUGGCUGUGCCGCAUGGUGUGGCUGGGAAAGAUUCACUUUUGUGGUGUUUUGGUGGGGGAUGGGCUCGCGGCCUAUCAGCUUGUUGGUGGGGUGAUGGCCUGCCAAGGCUUUGACGGGUAGCCGGCCUGAGAGGGUGGGCGGUCACAGUGGGACUGAGAUGCGGCCCAGACUCCUGCGGGAGGCAGCAGUGGAGGGUAUUGCACAAUGGGCGGAAGCCUGAUGCAGCGACGUCGCGUGAGGGAUGGAGGCCUUCGGGUUGUGAACCUCUUUCGCCGGUGAAGAAGGUCCUGCUCUUUGUGGUGGGGUUGACGGUAGCCGGGUUAUGAAGCGCCGGCUAACUACGUG